rnacentral:rRNA from 1 species
CUUUACUGUAGCCUGGAAUUGGGUUCGGGCUUUGACUGCGCAGGAUAGGUGGGAGACUAUGAAGCUACCCUUGUGGGGGUAGUGGAGUCAACGGUGAGAUACCACUCUGUUAAAGCUAGAAUUCUAACCGAUAGCCGUUAUCCGGCAUCGGAACAGUUUCAGGUGGGCAGUUUGACUGGGGCGGUCGCCUCCUAAACGAUAACGGAGGCGCGCAAAGGUUCUCUCAGGCUGGUUGGAAAUCAGCCGUAGAGUGUAAAAGCAUAAGAGAGCUUGACUGUGAGACUGACAAGUCGAGCAGGGACGAAAGUCGGCUUUAGUGAUCCGACGGUUCCGUGUGGAAGGGCCGUCGCUCAACGAAUAAAAGUUA